rnacentral:pre_miRNA from 1 species
UACAAUGUUUUGACUCUUCAUCUUAUUUGAAAAUUUUUUGAUUAAUAUUUUUAUUCUUACUAGAUAAUAAAAUACAAAUAGUACUUUAUGUGUGACUAAUUUUUUAAGUUUUUUUACAAAUUUUUUAAAUAAGAUGAAUGGUCAAAUAUUGGAUACGGAAA